rnacentral:rRNA from 1 species
GACGAACGCUGGCGGCGUGCCUAAUACAUGCAAGUAGAACACUGAAGGAGGAGCUUGCUCUUCUUGGAUGAGUUGCGAACGGGUGAGUAACGCGUAGGUAACCUGCCUGGUAGCGGGGGAUAACUAUUGGAAACGAUAGCUAAUACCGCAUAAUAGUAGAUGUUGCAUGACAUUUGCUUAAAAGGUGCAAUUGCAUCACUACCAGAUGGACCUGCGUUGUAUUAGCUAGUUGGUGAGGUAACGGCUCACCAAGGCAACGAUACAUAGCCGACCUGAGAGGGUGAUCGGCCACACUGGGACUGAGACACGGCCCAGACUCCUACGGGAGGCAGCAGUAGGGAAUCUUCGGCAAUGGACGGAAGUCUGACCGAGCAACGCCGCGUGAGUGAAGAAGGUUUUCGGAUCGUAAAGCUCUGUUGUAAGAGAAGAACGAGUGUGAGAGUGGAAAGUUCACACUGUGACGGUAUCUUACCAGAAAGGGACGGCUAACUACGUG